rnacentral:rRNA from 1 species
UACGAAGGGUGCAAACGUUGCUCGGAAUUAUUGGGCGUAAAGCGCACGUAGGCGGCUUGGCAAGUCGGAUGUGAAAUCCCUCGGCUCAACCAAGGAAGUGCAUCCGAAACUGCCGAGCUUGAGUACUUAAGAGGAUCGCGGAAUUCCCGGUGUAGAGGUGAAAUUCGUAGAUAUCGGGAGGAACACCAGUGGCGAAGGCGGCGAUCUGGGAAGAUACUGACGCUGAGGUGCGAAAGCUAGGGGAGCGAACGGG